CAAAAACACUCAAAAGUAAGGAGAAAUAUCAUUACGUUGAUUUAGAUUUUAGCUUCCUCUAUUAGAUGACGGAGAAUUACACAAAAUGGAGAAAUAGUUUCCUCCAUAACAAACGUUGCUUCAUUGUUUUAUGAAAUAUAGUUCAAUAUUUUAGUUGAGUAUUUUAUUUGAAGGAAAAGAUAAAUGUCAAUUUAAAAACGAAUAUUUAAAGGAAAAUGUAUAGCAUACUUAAAAGAAAAUUAAAAUUAUUUUACUUGACAAGGAGUUUAGAUGUUUUGAAGAGAAAUUUUUGUGAUGUGCCCAGAGUUGCUGGCUUCCGAAGUUAUGAAGAAGAGAGAUCGUGGAAACUUAAAGUACCAGAAAAGUUCAAUUUUGCCUCCGAUGUGAUAGAUCAAUGGGCUCAGAGAGAGAAGAAUGGACUUCGAAAUUCAGCAGUUCCUGCGUUCUGGUAUGUUUCAGAAGAUGGAAACGAGUU